rnacentral:rRNA from 1 species
GCGAAGCGGGAAGAGCUCAAAUUUAUAAUCUGGCACCUUCGGUGUCCGAGUUGUAAUCUCUAGAAAUGUUUUCCGCGUUGGACCGCACACAAGUCUGUUGGAAUACAGCGGCAUAGUGGUGAGACCCCCGUAUAUGGUGCGGACGCCCAGCGCUUUGUGAUACAUUUUCGAAGAGUCGAGUUGUUUGGGAAUGCAGCUCAAAUUGGGUGGUAAAUUCCAUCUAAAGCUAAAUAUUGGCGAGAGACCGAUAGCGAACAAGUACCGUGAGGGAAAGAUGAAAAGCACUUUGGAAAGAGAGUUAACAGUACGUGAAAUUGUUGGAAGGGAAACGCUUGAAGUCAGACUUGCUUGCCGAGCAAUCGGUUUGCAGGCCAGCAUCAGUUUUCCGGGAUGGAUAAUGGUAGAGAGAAGGUAGCAGUUUCGGCUGUGUUAUAGCUCUCUGCUGGAUACAUCUUGGGGGACUGAGGAACGCAGUGUGCCUUUGGCGGGGGUUUCGACCUCUUCACACUUAGGAUGCUGGUGGAAUGGCUUUAAACGACCCGUCUUGAA